CACGACUAAAGCUGCCGCUCUUCUCUUUGUACAUAAGCCAAAGCCGAGUUCCCGUCGAGUCGAAUACUUCGAGCAUUCGGUUAAUAAAGGGCAAAAAAUUGUAAAUAUUAACCAAAAAAACCAGUUGUCGAUGCAGAAAUACGAAAAAAUUUCAUCGACUAGAUCAGCACAGCAGCGUUGUUCGGGCAUCGUGUGGUAAUGGUAACGUACGAGGUCGACUUAUAUCGUAUCUUCUAUAUGCUCGUGCAAUACGUAGACCUAUCUACGUCAUUAAUUGAAAUUACGGCGAACGUACAGCAGCACAGAUCAACACUGUAAGCAGAAGCACAUCUACAAGUAUAAUAAUUUUGAUAAGGAGUAAAUUCGAAUUCGAAUGAUAAAAAUCAAUGUAAAAAUAUGUGCUCUUCACUCGAGAGCGUUAUCAUCGCAAGCAACGCGGAUUACGUCAUCUUCUCGAGAGGCGAACGGAUGCAGAACGCAACCAUCGUGUACCAGCGAGUCGAUAAAAUUGCCUAUUCGGCGCCGUAAAUCCGAACACCGGGUCACCGGAUCGUCGCAGCGAGCUAGCUGCAUUUUUCAACCAGGAUAAUGAUAAUGGUCCCAUGGAGGACCUCUAUAUUUUUAUCCACGUGUUUAUCCAUCUCAGGUGCACUGAGAGAAUUAAAGAGUGUUCUGGGAUGCUGCUGUUUCCGACGACGUUUCGCUUCAGGUUUCAGUCAACGGAAUGAAUUCCAAGUUCUUGGAUUCGGAUCUUCGAUGCUCAUUGGCUUCGCAGCUUUCGAGAAUGUGCCUUUCAAUACGUUGGAUUCUUGGAUAAUUCUGGUCUUCGGAGUUCUCGGAUGUUGUUCUGUAAAACCGUAUAUAAAACGUAAGCGAGCAGCCUCCAAAUCAAAUUCGUCAAAAACUUGCAGACUUCAUUUUUCCUUUUGGCACAUAAUCGCUGGGUCAUUCAGCAUUCCACAUUCAAAUGAGCCAUAUCUGCCUUCAAGUGCUCUAUUUUAGCUAAAUAUGGGUUACUCUAGCUGGAUGAAAUCAAGCCACAAGAGAUGUACUCAACACGAAGAUCUUUUCAACAAAAAAAUGAAUUUUCAAUGAAAAUACUCAAGUCAGAAAAUUAUUCAAGGAGGCUAAAUAACAUCACAAUCAAGCAACCCUGCAACAGUAACGCGAAUAAUUGCAACAAUUUGUAAAUUUUUUCAAAUCACUUCGUAUUCGAAAUUUGGACAGCAGACAUUGAUAACUUCCAUCUUCAACUCCAAUUUAAAAUGUAAAAAAAAAAAAAUGGCAAUAAAAUUAGACAUUUAUUUUCUUACUUUACUUCGAAAUUUCUGCAAACCUAUCGAUCAAGUAAAAACUUGAAAAGUAAAUUUUUCUUCUAAUUUUUUCAACUCGCGAAAUAAAUAAUUAACAUUACGAACUCGGUAAUUAUCUUUUUUCAUACGUUAUUUCGAAUGUUUCGAUAGUACGUAUAAAUUGGCAAUUGUUAGAAAAAUCAAUCAAAAAACAAAAAUCGAUCGCCGUUUCUUUUUUUUUCGCUAAUACAUACUCGAAGUGAUAAAAUUUAAACCUUUUGUAAAAAGUAGGUCAAGGUGAUGACGAAAAAAAAAUUUCAAUUUACGAAUAGUAAACGAGACAAGACGAUAAAGUGAACGAGGAAUAAUACAAUAUUAACAGUCUCUUUUUAGUAUACCGCAAUAAAAUUUUUCUGCAGAAUAGGUCACGUCGAUUGCACAUGCACAUUUGAAAAAAAUUCAUUAGUCUGGUUAAUUUUGAAAAAAAAAACUGGAAUAAAAUGAAAUUAUAAACCCAAAAGUACAUACUUCCUCUUCACAUAUUCGUAUCUCAACUCAAACCACAACACACUGACUGGAAAGUGGAAAAGGAAUCUCGAUGGAUCUAAAUACCUCACAAGCAGCUCAACGAACAACACAAUACGAUCGUAAAUUUGAAAUUUACGGCGAGCACCUGCUGGGUUUAGCAAUAUAACGCAAUCAUCAACAGAUUUUAAAUUUUUUCAAACGUGAUAUUAAUUCAAAAAUGUAAUAAAUCAACUUCCUAU